GUUGGAAACGACUGCUAAUACCUAUACGCCCUUCGGGGAAAGAUUUAUCGCUAUCAGAUUGGACCCGCGCUAGAUUAGAUAGUUGGUGAGGUAAUGGCUCACCAAGUCUACGAUCUAUAGCUGGUUUGAGAAGAUGAUCAGCCACAUUGGGACUGAGACACGGCCCAGACUCCUACGGGAGGCAGCAGUGGGGAAUAUUGUACAAUGGACGCAAGUCUGAUACAGCAAUGCCGCGUGAGUGAAGAAGGCCUUAGGGUUUGUAAAACUCUUUCGCUAGGGAAGAUAAUGACGGUACCUAGUAAAGAAGUCCCGGCUAACCCCGUG
rnacentral:rRNA from 1 species